UAGGUUGGCCAAAAAGUUCGUUCUGGUGUUUUCCGUAACAUCUUAUGGAAAAACUGGAAUUAACUUUUUGGCCAACCCA
ensembl:miRNA